CAAAUUUUAUUUUUUGAAUCNAAAAAAUUUGNCGGUAAAAAUAUUUUUUAGGGGAGUUUGUUUUUUAAUUCGAUAGUCCACGUUUAACCUUACUUUAUUAAAUAGUUUAUGCAUUUCCGUUAUUAGUUUAUCUAUAUAUAGUAUAAACUUAAAAUAAUAAUUUCAAAAUCAGGUAAUAAAUAGCUUAUAAUAAAGGAUAAAAUGAACUACAUUGUUUAGAAAAUUUGGAUUUUAAUUUGAAAUAAUUAUUUAAAAUUGGACUUAAAAGUAAUUUUUAAUUAGAUUGUUNAAUUGAAUUUAUAAAUUUUUAUGU
rnacentral:rRNA from 1 species